rnacentral:rRNA from 1 species
CACAAACUAGAUCAAGUUAAGAUUAACACAGUAAAAAAGUGGUUAAGGUGUAAUAUUUUAGUAAUUAAUUGCUAAUGUAUAUCAGAAGGAAAAUUAUGCUUUCUAUAGAAGUGGAAUUUGCAUAGAAAAAUCAAAUUACUAUUUCCUAUCAACCUGAAGCCGCGAAAUCUCAACUAAAAACCGGGAUUAGAUACCCCGUUAUUUGAGACAUAAAUUUUGAUUCUUUGACGUAUUUACUUGAGCAUUACGGGUCUUAUAAACUCAAUUUUAUAAAGUAACCUAAAACUCAAAAAACUUGGCGGUGCCUUAAAUCCUUCCAGGGGAACCUGUCCUAUAAUUGAUAGUCCACAAUUCACCUUUCCUUUUUUAGAACAACUAUCAGUCUGUAUACCGUCGUCGUCAGAUUACCUCUAAGAGGAGAAAAGUUAUCAACUAGAAAACUUACUAACCUGAGUAAUCCAUUAAACUCAUAAAAGAUAUACUCCUAGACGUCAGAUCAAGGUGCAGCCCAUAAAAAGGAAGAGAUGGGUUACAAUAAAAAGUUAUUAUACGAAUUUCUUUUUGCAAAAUAAAGUUUGAAGGAGGACUUGGAAGUAAUAUAAGAGAAGUAGAGAGUCUCAGUGAAGAUGGCUCUAAGGCGUGC